rnacentral:misc_RNA from 1 species
CGACCCUCAAGUAUAACUUGGUGUUGGGUGAAGUCCCUUAAAAAGGGACUCACCCCCUAACUUGUAGGCGGUCAUCACCUUUUUUCUCUCAGCGUAGCAGGCUUACGCACUCGCUCAGAGAUAGGUGAUUUGACUCGCUAAAUAAAAACCCUUUUUUAAAG